UCUACCAAAGAUUUUUUGAAGAUGGUGCACAAGAUUGAAAUGCAAAUUCUUAAAGAUGUGAAUUGAUGUCUCAUCAGGGAAAGUUAAUACACGUUGUACUCUUUUUUCCUUACACAAUUUUGUCUCACUAGAUUUUUCUUUCAAUGUUUUUAACGAGGCAACCAAAAGGAGUAUUGUUAGAUAUGUGUAUUCUUUUUUCUUUUCUAGAUUUUUUUUCACUGGGUUUUAUUUUAGUUAAGAUUUUAAUUAGGCCCAUUAUCCGUUGAAUAGAUAUUCAAAGGGGAGUGUUAUAAAUAGAAUUCUUUUUUAGGUGAAUAUCUAUAGUUUGGAGAGAUUUUAGGGUUUGUUAUUUGAUCGCUAAGUCAUUUUCUCCUUAUAAAUAAA
rnacentral:lncRNA from 1 species